rnacentral:tRNA from 2 species
ACGCCGUUGGUGAAAUGGUUAUCAUGCUUGCCUUCCAAGCAAGCGGCGGGGGUUCGAUUCCCUCACGGCGUA